AUCGAGAAGAGCACGCAGAAAGAGAUGGGGUUUUAGUAUAAAAGAAAAAAUAUUAAAGCAUAUCCUUCCCGGUUUUCGGACUAAGAUCAAGUGAAGUAUGGUGAGUUUUAACCUGCACCUGGUCAAUUGAGGUUAAUGAAGAACCUUUUACCUCUAAUACAGGUUGUUCCAAGCAUAGGAAUGGCAUUCUCCUCUGUAUGUUCUAGAAUUGGUUAUCGAAGAUAAAAAAUUGAUCCAUUAAAGAAGACAAAUCCUUUCGAGAAAAAUUAUAAAGUUAGGAUUAUUGUGAAAAGGGAUAAGAAGAUGGAAUAUGUGUUAACCUUUGUGAAUAUCCAGCACAACCAUGCUAUUAGUCCUAGCAUGGCAAAGACCCUAAGAAAGAAUAGGGAACUAAGCUUGCAUGCCAAACGGAUAGCUAAGAUCAUUGAUUAAGCUAGUGUUACAAUGAGAAACACAUAUCAGAGUUUAGCAACUGCUACUGGUGGCUAUGAUAAAUUAACUUUUACUGAAAAAGAUCUUCGGAAUCAUGUAGCAAAAAGUGUCAGAGUCAUACAAGAGGAGGGGGAUGAGCAAUCGUUAAUGCAGUAUUUUCAUCGGAUGCAACAAUAAAACUGCAACUUCUUUUACAAAGUUAAAUUGGAUGAGCAACAUCACAUAGAGCAUGCUUUUUGGGCUGAUGCUAGAAGUCGUACUGCUUAUGAGCACUUUGGGGACGUUGUGAGCUUUGAUACGACGUACCUAACAAAUAGGUAUGAUAUGCCUUUUGCCUCAUUUGUUGGGGUUAACCACCAUGGCCAAUCAUUGCUACUUGGUUGCGCUCUUCUUUUAUGCGAAGAAGAGAGUUCCUUUGUUUGGUUAUUUAAUUGUUGGAUACGAUGUAUGGGUGGCAAGCCGCCUAUUGACAUAUUGACGGAUCAAUGCAAAGUUUUGCGGAAUGCCAUUGAAAAAGUUGUUGCCAAUGAGACAACAUUGAUGGUGUAUUUGGCAUAUCAUGAAGAAAAUUUCAAAAAAAAUAGGAGCAUGCAAGCAAUUUAACGAGAUUAGUGCUGAUAUGACAUAUAUUGUAUGGGAUUCUAGGUCUAAGGAAGCAUUUGAGAGCUCUUGGAUUGAUUUUAUCAACAGAUUUAGUUUGCAUGAUAAUAAUUGGUUAGCAGAUUUGUACGAAGAACGUGACAGGUAGGUCACUAUUUUUCUUAGUAACAGUUUUUGGGCAGGCAUGCGUAGCACUCAAAGGAGUGAAAGCAUGCAUGCGUUUAUAAAAGGCUACCUAACCUCAAAGAGCAACUUGCAACAAUUUGUAACACAAUAUGACAAUUGUCUUGCAAAUAAAGCUCAACAAGAAUAUGAAUUGGAUGUUGCCAGUUUCAAUACCAUUAUCCCUUGUGCUACUGCCACUGCUAUUGAAAAACAGUUUCGGUUGUGCUAAACAUGCACACCACUUUCAGCCACUAUUUUCAGCCACCGUAUUUAUAUACAUAUACAAUACAAAAUACAAAAUUCAAAAAUUAAAAAUAAAAACCUCACUCCCAACCUUACUCUCACGCGCUGAAACAACGUUCUUCUUUCUCCUUACCUUACUCUCACUCUCACUCUCCGACGCGACUCGUUCCUCAUCCUCAUUCUCAACGGUGAUUUUCCUUCCCCCUCUCUCCGGCGACAUGAUUCUCCUUCCCUCUCUCUUGGGUGGCACAAUUCUUCUUUGCUCUCUUUCAGGCGCGGUUGCGAUUCUCCUUCCUCUGUCUCGGGCGUGGUGCUCUCUGUCUCAAGCACGAAUUUCAUCGACUGCAUUUUUCUUGUUUGAUUCUGUAAGUUUUGAAAUAUGCGAAAGAAGACUACACCAAAACGAGUAGAAAGAGAACCAGAAAACAGGGAUACCAAAGAAAAUAAAAGAAAAAUGUAACCAAAAGACUUCGAAGGAGAUGGAGUGGAGAAAGGUAUUUUGUCUUUAUUUUUUAUCUUUUAUGCUAGAUUUUUUUUUCAUUUGAUAAGGUCUUUGCAUGCUUUGAUUUUAUUAUGCAGAGUGCAUUACUAAAUAUUAGUUUACACAAUGAAUCAUAUGCCACUUUAGCUAACACAUGCUGUAUUUUAGUGUUUGAUUAUUAUCUCUGAAUUUCAGAAAUAAUACCCACUGAAUGCAGUGUUGAGUUCAAAUCUUUUAUUUUGCCACUUUAGCUAACACAUACUGUAACUGAUGAUUCCCAAGCAUGAUACAUUGCUACUGUGUGUGUGCAGUAAAGAGAAGUGUGAGUUGCAUUUGCUCCAAUUAUUGGUCUUUUCGGGUGAUUAACUUGCAACUUUCAAAGUUUGACCUAUAAUUCUGGGUUUCCAAUAAAGUUGCUAUCAUUGUGUCCAUGAUCUAUAUCUAGCUGCAUUGCACUAAUAAAGUAAAAACAUUAUUCACAGUAACCUCCAACACUAGUCUUACAUAGGUCUGGUUGAUUAUUAACACUAGGUCACAAGCUAAGCGCUUAUUAAUAAUUAAUUAUUAAAGUUUAAAAUUAAUUAAUUAAUCAAUUAAUAAAGAAGCACGAAGAAUCUGCAGGUCCUUUUAGUUGGAAACCAAUUCAUCAUCAAUUAGGUUGUCAAAAUUCAAGAAACAGCAUUCCUU